UACCAGCACCCCGAGUGGUCGGGACGUUUUAUUGGGCCUAAAGCAUCCGUAGCCGGUUCUACAAGUCUUCCGUUAAAUCCACUCGCUUAACAGAUGGGCUGCGGAAGAUACUAUGAGCUAGGAGGCGGGAGAGGCAAGCGGUACUCGAUGGGUAGGGGUAAAAUCCGUUGAUCCAUUGAAGACCACCAGUGGCGAAGGCGG
rnacentral:rRNA from 1 species